UUUGUUUUGAGUAUGUCUGACAGCUGCUACUUUGGUUAAAUUUGCCAUGAACCAACUUGAUAUCCCAUACGGGAAUGGCUUAUAGAUGCCUGCAUGUGCAAUUGCAUAAAGCUUUAACAUUGUUCUGCUCCUCUGGGACUAUAGGUGAAGAUGUGAGAUCAAAAAACCGAAGGCUGGACUAAAUCGGACACUGACUGUUUGGAGGGUCAACGUUUUUAACGAUGGAGUUGAGGAAACAGAGAGAAGUUAAAUAGCAUUGUCCUACUCUCAUAGUGGGCAAAUCUGACUCCUAACAAAGGUCUGACUCUGUAACAACAUAUGCCAGAAGAUGACACACUGUCUUCCGAUUUGCUGGCCAAAUAAGAAGAGAAUUUGGAUUUGAACCAAUGUCUCUGGAUUUUUAACGUUUUCAAGUGGCAUGCAGCCAGAGCCUUAACAUGGAACCAUCUGAAUAACAAUCACUAGAUUAAAAUAUAUGUGGAACGUAUUAAUAUGUUAAGUAUGCAGAUUAAAAAAGAGGAGGUAAAUUUAGGCUGGGAUUGAAAAGGAUAGCUUCAUAGAAGAGAUGAGAUUUGAAUGAAAUAUCAGAUAUGGACAGAAGAGCCAGUGAGUUUACCAGCUCGCCACUGAGUUACAUGCGCAUUGUCGGAGAAGAGAUCCCGUGUCUCUGUGAUUAUGUCUCUGGGACUAAGAUUGUUGCUUUCUGGUGAUGAAUUUGAGGUGAUCAAUCCCUGAGAAAAAUGGCCCUGUCAAAAAGUAGCUUCUACCAACAGGAAGAUCAAAAGUUGCCAUCCUCAUGGGGACUGAACCUAGAGCACACACACCAACAACUGUAAUUACAUAGAAACAAAGGUAGUCUCCUCCGAAGAUAAUCCUGUUCACCAUGGAAGACAUCGGGACUUCCAGUACUUGGAGCUGGGGGCCUUCACCAGAAAGCCGUCAUCCAUCUGUGUUUUUGCUCUUCUGUUCCUGAAAUCCAUUCAGGUCCAAGUAUGAGCUUCAGUAACCAGACCUUGUCAUACAUCUGUAAAAUUGGGAAAUA